rnacentral:rRNA from 1 species
GACGAACGCUGGCGGCGUGCCUAAUACAUGCAAGUAGAACGCUGAAGAGAGGAGCUUGCUCUUCUUGGAUGAGUUGCGAACGGGUGAGUAACGCGUAGGUAACCUGCCUUGUAGCGGGGGAUAACUAUUGGAAACGAUAGCUAAUACCGCAUAACAAUGGAUGACACAUGUCCUUUAUUUGAAAGGGGCAAUUGCUCCACUACAAGAUGGACCUGCGUUGUAUUAGCUAGUAGGUGAGGUAAUGGCUCACCUAGGCGACGAUACAUAGCCGACCUGAGAGGGUGAUCGGCCACACUGGGACUGAGACACGGCCCAGACUCCUACGGGAGGCAGCAGUAGGGAAUCUUCGGCAAUGGGGGCAACCCUGACCGAGCAACGCCGCGUGAGUGAAGAAGGGUUUCGGAUCGUAAAGCUCUGUUGUAAGUCAAGAACGGGUGUGAGAGUGGAAAGUUCACACUGUGACGGUAGCUUACCAGAAAGGGACGGCUAACUACGUG